GAGUUUGAUCCUGGCUCAGGACGAACGCUGGCGGCGUGCCUAAUACAUGCAAGUCGAACACUUUUAUUUCCACUGGAGCUUGCUCCACCGGAAAUAAAAGAGUGGCGGACGGGUGAGUAACACGUGGGCAACCUGCCCGACAGAGGGGGAUAACAUUCGGAAACGGAUGCUAAUACCGCAUAGUUUCAGGGAUCGCAUGAUUCUUGAAGGAAAGGUGGCUUCGGCUACCACUAAUGGAUGGACCCGCGGCGUAUUAGCUAGUUGGUGAGGUAAUGGCUCACCAAGGCAAUGAUACGUAGCCGACCUGAGAGGGUGAUCGGCCACACUGGGACUGAGACACGGCCCAGACUCCUACGGGAGGCAGCAGUAGGGAAUCUUCCGCAAUGGACGAAAGUCUGACGGAGCAACGCCGCGUGAGUGAAGAAGGUUUUCGGAUCGUAAAACUCUGUUGUUAAAGAAGAACAAGGAUGAGAGUAACUGCUCAUCCCCUGACGGUAUUUAACCAGAAAGCCACGGCUAACUACGUGCCAGCAGCCGCGGUAAUACGUAGGUGGCAAGCGUUGUCCGGAUUUAUUGGGCGUAAAGCGAGCGCAGGCGGUUCUUUAAGUCUGAUGUGAAAGCCCCCGGCUCAACCGGGGAGGGUCAUUGGAAACUGGAGAACUUGAGUGCAGAAGAGGAGAGUGGAAUUCCACGUGUAGCGGUGAAAUGCGUAGAUAUGUGGAGGAACACCAGUGGCGAAGGCGACUCUCUGGUCUGUAACUGACGCUGAGGCUCGAAAGCGUG
rnacentral:rRNA from 1 species